UACGGAGGGGGCGAGCGUUGUUCGGAAUCACUGGGCGGAAAGCGCGUGUAGGCGGCCCACUAAGUCUGAUGUGAAAGCCCGGGGCUCACCCCCGGAAGUGCAUUGGAAACUGGUGGACUCGAGUCCCGGAGAGGAGAGUGGAAUUCCUGGUGUAGCGGUGAAAUGCGUAGAUAUCAGGAGGAACACCGGUGGCGAAGGCGGCUCUCUGGACGGUGACUGACGCUGAGACGCGAAAGCGUGGGGAGCAAACAGG
rnacentral:rRNA from 1 species